rnacentral:rRNA from 1 species
AUUGAACGCUGGCGGCAGGCUUAACACAUGCAAGUCGAGCGGAGCGAGGGUGCUUGCACCUUAGCUUAGCGGCGGACGGGUGAGUAAUGCUUAGGAAUCUGCCUAUUAGUGGGGGACAACGUUUCGAAAGGAACGCUAAUACCGCAUACGUCCUACGGGAGAAAGCAGGGGAUCUUCGGACCUUGCGCUAAUAGAUGAGCCUAAGUCGGAUUAGCUAGUUGGUGGGGUAAAGGCCUACCAAGGCGACGAUCUGUAGCGGGUCUGAGAGGAUGAUCCGCCACACUGGGACUGAGACACGGCCCAGACUCCUACGGGAGGCAGCAGUGGGGAAUAUUGGACAAUGGGCGGAAGCCUGAUCCAGCCAUGCCGCGUGUGUGAAGAAGGCCUUUUGGUUGUAAAGCACUUUAAGCGAGGAGGAGGCUACCUGGAUUAAUACUCUAGGAUAGUGGACGUUACUCGCAGAAUAAGCACCGGCUAACUCUGUGCCAGCCGCCGCAGUAAGAC